ACGAGAAGACCCUAUGAAGCUGAUUACUAAAAAUUUAUUACAAAAAAUAUCAGUAAGUUGUUUGGGGAAAAACUUAACUUCAUUAUUAAAAUUAUUAGAGCUAUCAUGAUCUUAAACAAAUAUGAGGAAAAAGCUACUCUAGGGAUAACAGCGUAAUAGUUAUAAGAGACCUCAUCAAAAUAACUGUUUGCGACCUCGAUGUUGAAUUAUGGAGAACUUCUGGAGCAGCAUCUAGAAGUUCAAGUCUGUUCGACUUAUUGUUCCAUACAUGAUCUGAGUUCAAAC
rnacentral:rRNA from 1 species